rnacentral:rRNA from 1 species
GACGAAGGUGGCGAGCGUUGUUCGGAAUCACUGGGCAUAAAGCGCACGUAGGCGGUGCCGUAAGUCAGAUGUGAAAUCCCUCGGCCUAACCGAGGAACUGCGUCUGAUACUGCGGUGCUUGAGGAUCAGAGGGGUGCAUGGAAUUUCCGGUGGAGCGGUGAAAUGCGUUGAUAUCGGAAGGAACUCCGGCGGCGAAAGCGAUGCACUGGCUGAUUUCUGACGCUGAGGUGCGAAAGCGUGGGGAGCGAACAGG